UACAGAGGUCUCAAGCGUUGUUCGGAUUCAUUGGGCGUAAAGGGUGUGUAGGUGGCGCGCUAAGUCGGGUGUGAAAUUUCGGAGCUUACUCCGAAACUGCAUUCGAUACUGGCGUGCUUGAGGACUGGAGAGGAGACUGGGAAUUCAUGGUGUAGCAGUGAAAUGCGUAGAGAUCAUGAGGAAGACCAGUGGCGAAGGCGGGUCUCUGGACAGUUCCUGACACUGAGACACGAAGGCCAGGGGAGCAAACGGG
rnacentral:rRNA from 1 species